GAUGAACGCUAGCUACAGGCUUAACACAUGCAAGUCGAGGGGAAACGAUAUUGGAAGCUUGCUUCCGAUAGGCGUCGACCGGCGCACGGGUGAGUAACGCGUAUCCAACCUGCCCACCACUUGGGGAUAACCUUGCGAAAGUAAGACUAAUACCCAAUGAUAUCUCUAGAAGACAUCUGAAGGAGAUUAAAGAUUUAUCGGUGAUGGAUGGGGAUGCGUCUGAUUAGCUUGUUGGCGGGGUAACGGCCCACCAAGGCGACGAUCAGUAGGGGUGCUGAGAGGAAGGUCCCCCACAUUGGAACUGAGAUACGGUCCAAACUCCUACGGGAGGCAGCAGUGAGGAAUAUUGGUCAAUGGGCGAGAGCCUGAACCAGCCAAGUAGCGUGCAGGAUGACGGCCCUAUGGGUUGUAAACUGCUUUUAUAAGGGAAUAAAGUGAGCCUCGUGAGGCUUUUUGCAUGUACCUUAUGAAUAAGGACCGGCUAAUUCCGUGCCAGCCGCCGCAGUAA
rnacentral:rRNA from 1 species